rnacentral:rRNA from 1 species
CCUACGGGGGGCAGCAGUCGAGAAUCAUUCACAAUGGGGGAAACCCUGAUGGUGCGACGCCGCGUGGGGGAAUGAAGGUCUUCGGAUUGUAAACCCCUGUCAUGUGGGAGCAAAUUAAAAAGAUAGUACCACAAGAGGAAGAGACGGCUAACUCUGGGCCAGCAGCCGCGGUAAUACAGAGGUCUCAAGCGUUGUUCGGAAUCACUGGGCGUAAAGCGUGCGUAGGCUGUUUCAUAAGUCGUGUGUGAAAGGCGCGGGCUCAACCGGCGGACGGCACAUGAUACUGCGAGACGAGGGUAAUGGAGGGGUGAGCGGAAUUCGAGGUGUAGCGGUGGAAUGCGUAGAUAUCGGGAGGAACACUCGUGGGGAAGGGGGGUUCCUGGACAUUAACUGACGCUGAGGCACGAAGGCAAGGGGAGCGAAAGGGAUUAGAUACCCUAGUAGUC